GGAGCGCAGCCUCCUACCUUUCCUUCUCGCUGGAGUGUUGGUGCUGAGAGGCGGCGGCCGGCGGGAUGGAGAGAAGUAGGAUGAACCUGCCCAAGGGGCCGGACACGCUCUGCUUCGACAAGGACGAGUUCAUGAAGGAAGAUUUUGACGUCGAUCACUUUGUGUCUGACUAUAGGAAGCAUGUCCAGCUGGAGGAACUAAGAGGAGAUCUGGAACUCUACUAUAAACAUCUUAAAAUAGCCAUGGUCGAGCUCAUCAAUAAGGAUUAUGCAGAUUUUGUCAACCUUUCCACAAACUUGGUUGGCAUGGACAAAGCCCUCAAUCAACUUUCUGUGCCUUUGGGACAGUUACGAGAAGUUCUGAGUCUCAGGUCAUCUGUCAGUUAAGGAAUUCGGGCAGUAGAUGAACGAAUGUGUAAACAAGAGGACAUAAGGAAGAAAAACAUGUGUGUGUUGAGGCUUAUACAAGUUAUUUGAUCAGUUGAAAAGAUUGAAAAAAUCUUAAAUUCACAAAGUUCUAAAGAAACCUCUGCACUAGAAGCAAGCAGCCCGUGUGUCUCCAGCGGCUCUGCUUCGCUGCGGCCCUUGGCAGCGCCUGCAGCCCCUCCAGCCAUGUCCACGUUCGGCCCCUGGGGAGCUGGCCCUCCAGUGUUCUUCCCGUCUUUGCUGUUGCUGCUGUGCUCCUCGGAUAGAAACACCUCGGUGAGCUCUGUGUCUACAAUCCUGUCCCUUUGCAACACUGUCCUUGAUAAACAGACAUUGUGCGCUUUCUUGCUCAGAAUUACCUUGGAGGACUUUUUUCUCCAGAAGAGCAGCUCUGAGCUCUAGAGUCAGGAAAGCCAGAGCAGCGUCAGCGCACGGCAAAUCCAUCAUGCUCUGCCAGGCCCAGAAAUGCUGAGAUAAGGAUAAAUAGGAAAUGCGCAUGGGAUCAAUCAGUAGAGGUUGGGAUUAGGCUUCGGCAUUGGUCGUGCCGAGCGCUUGCCUUCCCUCCACACCAGUUCUGAUGCUCUGG